UCUAGAGAGGCCAUUUUGCAACUGGUGACUGCUUGCUGCAUUCUCUGUCUUCCAACUGGGGAAAGUUUGUGUAAUCCAGCCCUUAAUAGGGAGAUGGCUUCAUAGAUCACUGCUCAUUACAUCCUGGCAUGGCAACCACAGUGAUUGCUGACAUGGAGAACUCAGGAAAGUACUUAAUGAAAUGUAGCAGCUGGAAACAAAGAAAGAGAACUAACACCAGGGCUGGAAUUUUUGAAGCUGCCUAACACUACCCAAUUCUCUGAGUGUCAAAAUCCCCUAAAUGGCUUUGAAAGUCUCACCCAUGUGACCAGACAUCUCUACAGACUACUGACAAGUAUUCCAUGGACCAUAGUUUGAGAUAUCCUCUUCUAAGGAAGUCUCUGUAGCAUGGUUUGACAUUUAUAAAUAGUCCUGACAUCUAAACCAGACAGCAAGGUGGUUGGAGAGCUCUUCCAUUACGUUCUAAAUGUGGCAUCUUAGGGAUGUCCUGCUCUUUCCAUCACCACAUAGUUUGCCAAACGUGGAAUUUGCUUUUGUAAUUUAGCAUUGUGGAAAAGUAUAAUCUGGUAGGAUAUUCUCAAACUAUCCAAAGCGUAGCAUCCCUUGGGAAUGUUAGUAUGUGGCGUUUUGGAAAACUGUCUGCCACAGAGUUUAUUCCCCCCCCCCCCCAAAAAAAAAAAAAAGUAAACAGUUUUAUAGGCCAAAGUGUAGAGGUUGCUCGAAUGUACUGCAGUCAGUUUCCCUCUCCAUAAACAUCAGAUUUGCAUCCCAAAUUCCAAGAAAGAAAUGGCAAAGGGCUGCUCUCCUGGCUUACUUACCUAGCUAGAGUUAAAUUUUGCUAGCAGAAAAAAAAAAUCUUCCUGGAAAAUGGACACAGUGCAGUGAGUUACCUCAUAAGAAAGGAGUUAAGUUGUGAUAGUGUUGCUGGUCCCAGAACCACAUUCUUCUUGUUACUCUCUGCCAUCCAUUGACCCAGGAAACCAGAGAUAACUAGCAUUAAUGAUGCUGCAUGUCUUUUAGUCCCUUUUGUGACUCUGAGGAUACACCUGGCCUGUUCCGUGAAGGCCAAACUCAUGGGCCAUAUGACAUGUACAGUAUAUGCAGAAAGAUUUGCAACUCAUGAGUUUCCAUGGACUCUGUUCAUUUGUCUUUAGGUAUUUUUAGGUCUCUGUGUAAGUAUUUUACAUGUUCCAUAUAUAGCACAUUUAGGGCCUGAUCCAGCACCCAAGGAAGUCCAUGUGAGUUUUUUCCAUUCUUUGGUGGCAGUUGAAUCAGGCCCCCAGAGCUGUGAGAAACACCUAAGGGAAGCUUAAGGAAUAAAUUACUUAAUGGGUCAAGAUGAAAAUACAGGAUCUCUUUGGUAUUCCAUAAUCCUCCAUGUACUCAGUGAUACUGUAUGUCAGAUAUUGGAGACUAGAGUCUGUUAUCCCCUAAAUCCCAUUACCCACAUCUAUGCCAAACACUGGGGACCAUCAUCUCUUUACAUCAUUUCUGUAAGCACUGUGACUAAGAGAUGUUAGUUCUGGGAAUCAGAAAAUGUUAAAUGGUGAGGUCAUUUGCUGCUGCCUCUCCCUUCGGGGCAUGAUGCUUCCAGACAUGACAACAUUCAAGACAGAAAGGAACACCAGUUCACAGAUAGGUUAAGUAUCCAGCAUGAAGGCCUGCAGAUACUCUUAUGCAUGCAACAUUCACCAAACCCUUGAGGCUCAACUCUGGUUGCUGUUUCUUUCAAAUAGGCUGUUCCUACCUCAAUGCUACCUUGAAAGGGAGUUCUAAUUAGAACUACAAGUUCCUCGCCGUACUGUCUCCAUGAGUGUGUUACCUCCCUGGGAAUCUGAACAUUUGCUGAUGUCAGAGUUUUGCAACCAUUCACAACAGUGCACAGCUAGGACCUUACAAAACAAAAAUCCCUGUAUCUAUUAUGUUAGAAGAAGGAGAAGAGGUUAUAAGUAGGGUGAGUUGAGAAACAGUCAGUUCUUUGGAUGGAAAUUUUUUGAAAAAAAAUUCUUCGUAACUUCCAAAUUUCCAUUUUUGAUGGAAAAAUGACCCCCCCCCGAUUUGUUUCCUUUUUUCCCCCUCUUUGCCUCCUUCCCUCCCCCCUUGAUUCUUUUUUCCAUUUUGACAUGAGAAAAGGAAGAAAAAUGGAGAGAAGUGGGGAAGGAAAAUGAAAACCAAUUUUUGUUUGGUAUUUUUCUAUUGAAAAACUGGACAAAUUUGAAAGACCUUUUU